rnacentral:lncRNA from 1 species
UCGGAUUUUGGUAAACCAGUAGUCCUCCCUUUUGCUCCGCAGAGAAAUCAACCAGAUCCUUGCGGAGUCGGCGGCGUCCACCGAUCCGGUCUUUUCCGACGGACGCUGACCGGAAUUUUUGAAAAAAAAAAGGGGAUGAAAGGGAAUGGAUCCCCGGUGGUGAAGUUGGAACAACCGGAUCAAGGCAAACCGGCGGUUCCCCCUCCCUCAUCGGCGGCAUUAAGGAGUCGGUCGUCCUCGGUGAAGUCGGCGGCCCGUCGAUUGAGAUCUUCCGACGGCCAUCGGUCGGGAUUUGGAGGGGAGGAGCGCUGGUUUUGGGCUCCUCCUUCUCCGUCGAUCACCCAUCAAGCCGACGAACGGCUGGUUCGCCGGCGGUCGGGACAAUAGGCAAAGGCCGGCCACCGGUGGUUUUGAUUGGUUGGUGCCUCAUCGGAGGUGAAUCAGGGAAAAGUUUAACGCCGGCCGUGGAGGGUUUGGGGGUUUUUUUUGGCUAUGGUAGGGAAAAGGAUGAGAAGAGAGGAAGG